UCGGAUGUGGUGCACGGCGCACAUCAGCUUCUCUUACCGUGGAUAAUGUCUUAGUACCUCUGUAAGCUGAAGUACGGGGUUCGACUCCCCGUGUCCGAA